rfam:Candidatus Thorarchaeota archaeon AB_25 ThorAB25_contig000145, whole genome shotgun sequence.
GGGUCGGUGGUCUAGCUUGGUAUCACACCAUCACUCAUGAUGUGUGCCACAGUGAUUCUUGGUUCGGAUCCAAGGGAUCGCGAGUUCGAAUCUCGUCCGGCCCA